rnacentral:rRNA from 1 species
AACGAACGCUGGCGGCGUGGAUAAGACAUGCAAGUCGAACGCUGAUUUCAGGGUAGCAAUAUUCUGGAGUCGGAGUGGCGCAAGGGUGCGUAACACGUGGGUAAUUUGCCAUGAAGCCCGGAAUAACUCGCUGAAAGGCGAGCUAAUACCGGAUGUGAUCUUCGGGAGGCAUCUCCUGAACCUUAAAGCUGGGGACCGUAAGGCCUGGCACUUCUUGAUAAGCCCGCGGCCUAUCAGCUAGUUGGUGAGGUAACGGCUCACCAAGGCUAAGACGGGUAGCUGGUCUGAGAGGACGACCAGUCACACUGGAACUGAGACACGGUCCAGACACCUACGGGUGGCAGCAGUCGAGAAUUUUUCU